GAUGAAGAACGUAGCGAAAUGCGAUACUUGGUGUGAAUUGCAGAAUCGCGUGAACCAUCGAGUCUUUGAACGCAAGUUGCGCCCGAAGCCAUUAGGCCGAGGGCACGCCUGCCUGGGCGUCACACGUCGUUGCCCCCCCAUCUACUCCUUCGGGAUUGCGGGGGGCGGAUGAUGGCCUCCCGUGCGCCUCGCCGCGCGGUUGGCAUAAAUGCCAAGUCCUCGGCGACGCACGCCACGACAAUCGGUGGUUGCGAAACCUCGGUUGCCCGUCGUGUGCGGUCGUCGCGCAUCGAGGGCUCGAAAAAAUUGCCGAGUUCCGGCUCGGCUUUCAACGCGACCCCAGGUCAGGCGGGGUUACCCGCUGAAUUUAAGCAUAUCAAUAAGCGGAGGA
rnacentral:misc_RNA from 1 species